AGAAAUUAAGAAGCCAAAUUCCUUCUUUUGACAUUGCUCUUUCAUCUAACCUGUUCUCAAGACAACUUGGCUUAAGUACAUUAGUCCAUACCAUAUAUCAAUCAUGCACUCAUCAGGGGAACCUCAUGAUGAGGCUCCUUGGUCCGUCGGAUUUUGUGAUUGUUUCUCCGACAUGAAAACUUGUUGUAUGGCGUGUUUGUGUCCAUGCAUCGCUUUUGGCCGGAUUUCUGAGAUUGUUGACAAAGGGUCAACUUGUAAGUAAAUAGUUUCUAAACUGGAUUGUCGAAACCAUUUUUAAAUCGAGUUUUGGAAAAUGGGAAUCGAUUUUAAGAAAAAUAAAAACGGGAGCC